rnacentral:misc_RNA from 1 species
GAUGAAGAACGUAGUGAAAUGCGAUACUUGGUGUGAAUUGCAGAAUCCCGUGAACCAUCGAGUCUUUGAACGCAAGUUGCGCCCGAAGCCAUUAGGCCGAGGGCACGCCUGCCUGGGCGUCACACGUCGUUGCCCCCCCAUCUACUCCUUCGGGAUUGCGGGGGGCGGAUGAUGGCCUCCCGUGCGCCUCGUCGCGCGGUUGGCAUAAAUGCCAAGUCCUCGGCGACGCACGCCACGACAAUCGGUGGUUGCGAAACCUCGGUUGCCCGUCGUGUGCGGUCGUCGCGCAUCGAGGGCUCGAAAAAAUUGUCGGGCUCCGGCUCGGCUUUCAACGCGACCCCAGGUCAGGCGGGGUUACCCGCUGAAUUUAAGCAUAUCAAUAAGCGGAGA